rnacentral:lncRNA from 1 species
GCACUGAUCAGCUUCUGUGGGAGUGCUAGCUCGCGUAGAAACUUGUAGAUGGCUGAUCUUCUCCUCCUAUGGAUCUCUCGAAUGCCUCUAAAACCAUAGGAAGAAUAAGAAGGAACUAGUGAUGGAAAGAUGAAAGUAGAACUCUCUUCUCUUUUGACUUUUUCCUCACCCAAAAAUCCUACAACAAAUUUCUAGGACACUCACCU